UGUUUCGGCUAGGGGGCCAUCCCGGCUUACCAACCCGAUGCAAACUGCGAAUACCGGAGAAUGUUAUCACGGGAGACACACGGCGGGUGCUAACGUCCGUCGUGAAGAGGGAAACAACCCAGACCGCCAGCUAAGGUCCCAAAGUCAUGGUUAAGUGGGAAACGAUGUGGGAAGGCCCAGACAGCCAGGAUGUUGGCUUAGAAGCAGCCAUCAUUUAAAGAAAGCGUAAUAGCUCACUGGUCGAGUCGGCCUGCGCGGAAGAUGUAACGGGGCUAAACCAUGCACCGAAGCUGCGGCAGCGACACUGUGUGUUGUUGGGUAGGGGAGCGUUCUGUAAGCCUGUGAAGGUGGCCUGUGAGGGUUGCUGGAGGUAUCAGAAGUGCGAAUGCUGACAUAAGUAACGAUAAAGCGGGUGAAAAGCCCGCUCGCCGGAAGACCAAGGGUUCCUGUCCAACGUUAAUCGGGGCAGGGUGAGUCGACCCCUAAGGCGAGGCCGAAAGGCGUAGUCGAUGGGAAACAGGUUAAUAUUCCUGUACUUGGUGUUACUGCGAAGGGGGGACGGAGAAGGCUAUGUUGGCCGGGCGACGGUUGUCCCGGUUUAAGCGUGUAGGCUGGUUUUCCAGGCAAAUCCGGAAAAUCAAGGCUGAGGCGUGACGACGAGGCACUACGGUGCUGAAGCAACAAAUGCCCUGCUUCCAGGAAAAGCCUCUAAGCAUCAGGUAACAUCAAAUCGUACCCCAAACCGACACAGGUGGUCAGGUAGAGAAUACCAAGGCGCUUGAGAGAACUCGGGUGAAGGAACUAGGCAAAAUGGUGCCGUAACUUCGGGAGAAGGCACGCUGACACGUAGGUGAAGUGAUUUACUCAUGGAGCUGAAGUCAGUCGAAGAUACCAGCUGGCUGCAACUGUUUAUUAAAAACACAGCACUGUGCAAACACGAAAGUGGACGUAUACGGUGUGACGCCUGCCCGGUGCCGGAAGGUUAAUUGAUGGGGUCAGCGCAAGCGAAGCUCCUGAUCGAAGCCCCGGUAAACGGCGGCCGUAACUAUAACGGUCCUAAGGUAGCGAAAUUCCUUGUCGGGUAAGUUCCGACCUGCACGAAUGGCGUAAUGAUGGCCAGGCUGUCUCCACCCGAGACUCAGUGAAAUUGAACUCGCUGUGAAGAUGCAGUGUACCCGCGGCAAGACGGAAAGACCCCGUGAACCUUUACUAUAGCUUGACACUGAACAUUGAGCCUUGAUGUGUAGGAUAGGUGGGAGGCUUUGAAGCGUGGACGCCAGUCUGCGUGGAGCCGACCUUGAAAUACCACCCUUUAAUGUUUGAUGUUCUAACGUGGACCCGUUA
rnacentral:rRNA from 1 species